rnacentral:rRNA from 1 species
GAUGAACGCUGGCGGCGUGCCUAAUACAUGCAAGUCGAGCGAACAGACGAGGAGCUUGCUCCUUUGACGUUAGCGGCGGACGGGUGAGUAACACGUAGGUAACCUACCUAUAAGACUGGGAUAACUUCGGGAAACCGGAGCUAAUACCGGAUAAUAUUUCAAACCGCAUGGUUCGAUAGUGAAAGAUGGCUUUGCUAUCACUUAUAGAUGGACCUGCGCCGUAUUAGCUAGUUGGUAAGGUAACGGCUUACCAAGGCAACGAUACGUAGCCGACCUGAGAGGGUGAUCGGCCACACUGGAACUGAGACACGGUCCAGACUCCUACGGGAGGCAGCAGUAGGGAAUCUUCCGCAAUGGGCGAAAGCCUGACGGAGCAACGCCGCGUGAGUGAUGAAGGUCUUCGGAUCGUAAAACUCUGUUAUUAGGGAAGAACAAACGUGUAAGUAACUGUGCACGUCUUGACGGUACCUAAUCAGAAAGCCACGGCUAACUACGUG